rnacentral:rRNA from 1 species
GAUGAACGCUGGCGGCGUGCCUAAUACAUGCAAGUCGAGCGAACAGACGAGGAGCUUGCUCCUCUGACGUUAGCGGCGGACGGGUGAGUAACACGUGGAUAACCUACCUAUAAGACUGGGAUAACUUCGGGAAACCGGAGCUAAUACCGGAUAAUAUAUUGAACCGCAUGGUUCAAUAGUGAAAGACGGUUUUGCUUUCACUUAUAGAUGGAUCCGCGCCGCAUUAGCUAGUUGGUAAGGUAACGGCUUACCAAGGCAACGAUGCGUAGCCGACCUGAGAGGGUGAUCGGCCACACUGGGACUGAGACACGGUCCAGACUCCUACGGGAGGCAGCAGUAGGGAAUCUUCCGCAAUGGGCGAAAGCCUGACGGAGCAACGCCGCGUGAGUGAUGAAGGUCUUCGGAUCGUAAAACUCUGUUAUUAGGGAAGAACAAAUGUGUAAGUAACUAUGCACGUCUUGACGGUACCUAAUCAGAAAGCCACGGCUAACUACGUG